UACGUAGGGGGCAAGCGUUGUCCGGAUUUAUUGGGCGUAAAGAGCGUGUAGGCGGCUAGGUAGGUCCGUUGUGAAAACUCGAGGCUCAACCUCGAGACGCCGGUGGAAACCAUCUAGCUAGAGUCCGGAAGAGGAGAGUGGAAUUCCCGGUGUAGCGGUGAAAUGCGCAGAUAUCGGGAAGAACACCUAUGGCGAAGGCAGCUCUCUGGGACGGUACUGACGCUGAGACGCGAAAGCGUGGGGAGCGAACAGG
rnacentral:rRNA from 1 species